ensembl:lncRNA
CGCGAGCCCUCCUCGCUGCCAUUUUACUCUAGGGAAAGGCGUCUCACUCCUCGCCCGGCAGACACGGGGUGAAGCUGGCGGCCGCCAUUUUGAGAAAGGGCACAGCAGAUCCGAACCGGUGGGGAGGUGCGCUGCCGUGCUGGAGGGCGGCGCUGAAGAGCGGGUGAAGCCAUUGAGGAGCCAUGUUGGGUGUGGGAAUGUUGCUGGGUAGAGGCGGCGUGUUUGCAUCGCGGACGGACGGAGCUUCUCUGUAGAAAAAACGCUUGCUACAGCGUGAGCGCUGCUGGCGAUAUUUAUGACAAAGCGACCUCUUACAGGAUCCACAUCCGGGGAAUGACGUUUUUCAGUACAUCUUUCCAGGCCUGAAUCCCUCGUCCUCUAGGCACUGAUACAAGAUGUAGAGAUACUGCUAAGCUUGCUAAUGCUCGUGGAUGGGCAGUCCUGUAGUCUGCUUAGAAAGCAGGAGGAGUCCUGCGACACAUAGUGAUACGGUCUGGAUUACCAAUUGGGAUCAAUAUGUAAGCUUAAGGACCAGUAUAUGGAUUUAGUGAAUGGAUGAUGUACUGACCCCUGGAUACCAGGUGGAUAAGGAGGUUUGGUUGAGUCAGCCAGCUUUGUGGAUGCAAGUACUGUGCCAUCAAGGCACAGAGCUGACUGAGCAUGAGUGGAGACUGGGUCCAACCAGCGGUCUCAGUGAGGAAGACAGCUGACUUCAUCCAGAGGGUCUCAGGACCACUGCCACAAAGAGAUGGAGCGUGUGCAAGGAGGCGGAAGCCAAUGUAAAUGGAACCCCUCAACUGCCCACCAGACACUGUUCUUAGUAGAUGCCAUGUUAGGAAAAGGCAGGUGCUGAUGAGGUGGAAAAGUGGAAAAAUAACCCCGAAAAUGAGAGAAAAAACUCUAGAAAAGGGGGAAUCUCCCUCCCGGAAAAUCAGAAACGGAACAGAACCCGGCGUGCCCCCACUCCACGCGUUUCCAGCCAAUCGUCCUCUGGCUCCGCAGGAAGUUUUCCUUUCCCUCUGCAAUUCCUUGCGGCAGCGCCCAGCCCCGUUUUGGAUUCGCUUUCCUUCUUUUCGCUGUUACCGAGGUCGGCUGAAUCCCCGCUCCAAGCACCCACAGUGAUGGACCCAUAGGUCCCCAGCCUCCAAUUUAACGAUAUUUUCUCUAUUUUGUGAAAAUUUGGCUCAAAAUAAGCCGUUUUAGUAAUCUGUUUUAAUACCUGUUAUUAUAUAUUUUCUGCUAUAGCACUAAUUGCUGCUAACUGCACUAAUUUGUUGGAGUUGGGGUUUUCUGUGCAAUCCAGCCUGAAAGCAACGACCUUGGGACCAGCGGAUUGUCGCCCCGCUGCCACCACCCAUGUGGACGCAGGAUGUCAGCAGGGCCAUCGGCCCCUCUGAGGUGUCCCCAGAGCUGCUGCAGCCCCUGGUGACUGUGGUGGCCACCUUGGGCAAGUUGGGGACCAUCCCUGGUGACAUCUCCCUGGGAGGGGACAUGGGCUCACUGCGGGCCAGGCUACUGACCUUCAGCUCUGGCGUGCGCAAAGCCAUGGUGCACCCAGAUGGCGAUGCCACCCUCCUCCGGCGUGCCCUGGGGGCAUCCAAGGAACAGCCCAGUGCCCCCACAGCCAUCACUGACUCGUGGCAGAACGCGGUGACUGCAGUGAAGGACAUCUGGGCCAAGCUGCAGGAGGAUGCUGCAUGCCUGAAGAAUGCCUGUGAGACUGUGGCCACUGCCAAGGCCACCAAUGAGGCCACCAAGGGCCACUUGGUGGAAGCAGUGACACGGGAGGACAAAGCACAUAAAGGGUUGAUAGCUGCCACCAGGGUGGUGCCGUUGUCCUCAGAGGUGGCCCAGGUGACAGAGGUGGUGGCAGCCCAUGAUGCGCGGGUGGCAGAGGCCAGGGAAGGGCUGCAGGCAGCCGCCAAGGCCACUGAGGAGGUGGCAGCGGCAGUGGUGGCAGCAAUAGCAGCGAAGGAGAGGGGACAACAUGCAGCAGUGGCCCAUGGGCUCCUGGAGCAGUUGGUAGCCGCCUGUAUGGGGGCCUAUAACUACUACAGUCAUGUGGAGCAUUGCCUCAGGGACAUCAAGGCCAUGGUGGGUGUCACUACUGGAGGUGGUGGCCCUGAUGUCCCCAAGGCCACCCAAGGGGACAUGGGUAUCCCCAAGGAGCUAGCAGAGAUAGUGGUGGUGGCUGAGGCGCUGUGGGACGCCAGUGCCCGCCUGGCCCAGGAGCACCUCUUGGGGACACUGCGGGGUGUUCGGAGCCUGCUGGCCACCUCCAGUGUCACUGAGGCCACCAAAGUCACCCAGCGCUGCCAAGAGGCCACCAACGCCCUCCCUGGGCUGCUGCCACCGGGGCUGUGCUAGGGGACAAACACGUCCAUCAGGGACCGGUGGUAUCAACAACACCAUGAGAUCAUGGAGACAGCAGAUGGGGCCGUUAGGACCACCAUUCCAACCACCAAUGGAGUGAGGGCUGUCAUGAAAUAUCACCUCAGUGUCACCUCCGUGCAUCCCCUCAACACCUCCAGGGAUGCCACCACUUCCUGGUAAAAAAUGGGAAAACAGUUUUGUUUUAUAAAAAUUAUUUUGUUUUAAAAAAAUGGUUUUGCUUUAUAAAAAUGUUAUCACCUGACAAGGUUCUGGCUCCGUGUCACUUUAUCCCUAACAUGUCAGCAGGAUCCUCACACAUCUCCUCCUGUGUCCCCUUCUCAUGUUUAUCCUCCUAUUCCUGUCCAGGUCCCUAUGUAUCACCUUCUCAUGUGCCCCUUUCACAUCCCUUCUAUGUCCCUAUAUGUCACUUCUGCUGUGUCCCUUCCAUGUUGCCGUUAAAACGAAAAGUGAUAGUCCUAUCACUGUCAACCCUUGUAAACAGUCAUUCCCCCUCCUGUUUAUACGCUCCCUUCAAGUACUGGAAGGCCACAAUGAGGUCUCCCUGGAGCCUUCUCUUCUCCAAGCUAAACAAGCCCAGUUCCCUCAACCUUUCUUCAUUGGAGAGGUGUACCAGCCCUCUGAUUAUCUUAGUGGCCCUCCUGUGGGCCUGCUUCAAGAGCUCCAGGUUGCAGUCAAGUGAUAAAAAUAUGUAUAAAAGAUGCAUUGCAAAACUCCUGGGUGUGCUAGCUUUGUGCACCUCAGCAAUAAAUCAGCGUCUCAACUGCGUGUGAGAUGGGCUCACUGCAUACUGUGAACAAAUCAGCUUUUUG